rnacentral:rRNA from 1 species
GGAGCAAUCCAGCUACUAUAACGAUACCGCCGGCGACGAGCCGGAGGAAGGCGUGGACGACGUCAAAUCAUCACGCCCCUUAUGUCCAGGGCUACACACAUGCGACAAUGGUCGGAACAAUGAGUUGCCAAGCAGUAAUGCGGAGCUAAUCUCCAAAGCCGGCCUCAGUACAGAUCGAGGGUUGCAACCCACCCUCGUGAAGAUGGAGUUGCUAGUAAACGCAAGUCAGCUAUAUUGCGUUGAAUACGUUCCCGGGUAUU